ACUGGGAUUACCUUUAGUAACGGCGAGUGAAGCGGUAAAAAGCUCAAAUUUGAAAUCUGGUACUUUUCAGUGCCCGAGUUGUAAUUUGUAGAAUUUGUCUUUGAUUAGGUCCUUGUCUAUGUUCCUUGGAACAGGACGUCAUAGAGGGUGAGAAUCCCGUUUGGCGAGGAUACCUUUUCUCUGUAAGACUUUUUCGAAGAGUCGAGUUGUUUGGGAAUGCAGCUCAAAGUGGGUGGUAAAUUCCAUCUAAAGCUAAAUAUUGGCGAGAGACCGAUAGCGAACAAGUACAGUGAUGGAAAGAUGAAAAGAACUUUGAAAAGAGAGUGAAAAAGUACGUGAAAUUGUUGAAAGGGAAGGGCAUUUGAUCAGACAUGGUGUUUUUUUAAUGUGCAAGUCUCUCGUGGACAUGUGCCUCUGGAAAUUAACACUGGGCCAACAUCAGUUCUGGCGGUAGGAUAAAUCAUUAAGAAUGUAGCUACCUCGGUAGUGUUAUAGCUUUUUGGAAUACUGCCAGCUGGGAUUGAGGACUGCCCUUCGGCAAGGAUGUUGGCAUAAUGGUUAAAUGCCGCCCGUCUUGAAACACGGACC
rnacentral:rRNA from 2 species